rnacentral:misc_RNA from 1 species
GAUGAAGAACGUAGCGAAAUGCGAUAAGUAAUGUGAAUUGCAGAAUUCAGUGAAUCAUCGAAUCUUUGAACGCACAUUGCGCCCCCUGGUAUUCCGGGGGGCAUGCCUGUUCGAGCGUCAUUUCACCACUCAAGCCUCGCUUGGUAUUGGGCAACGCGGUCCGCCGCGUGCCUCAUAUCGACCGGCUGGGUCUUCUGUCCCCUAAGCGUUGUGGAAACUUUCGCUAAAGGGUGUUCGGGAGGCUACGCCGUAAAACAACCCCAUUUCUAAGGUUGACCUCGGAUCAGGUAGGGAUACCCGCUGAACUUAAGCAUAUCAAUAAGCGGAGGA